GGAAGUCAAAUAAAAGUACAAAUAUGCUGCCUUCACCAGUUGGAUCAAGGGAUUCCAGAAAUAUCCUCUUCAGACUCUUUGAGGUUACAUGAAUGAGAACUGUACUUUACCUGGGUGAGAAGAGGAGGAUUUGAUGUGAACCAUGGAUCUUGCUAUCAAGGAAGUAAAAAUGAAAUGCUUCAGUAAGCAGGGGCACAGUCAACUCUACAAGGAGGAGCCAUGCUAUCAAAGUCCUGCCCAAACCCUCACAGACCCAAUUGCAAAC